UCCCGAUCCCCAUUUAAAUAAAUUUGUGCAUUUAAUCGUGUUUUUCCUUCUCUUGAAUAAAUGAAACUCAAAACGUAUUGCCGACAGAAGUGAUCUCUAAGCUUGUCAAAUGAAUGCUGAAGAUGACGCUUCCAAUCCUUCAAUUCUGCUGUAACACCUGUACUAGGAACAACAUUUUCACUUGCUAGUUCAUUGUUUUGAUUCUUCAGAUUCCAAACUUUUGUUACAGCAAAUGGUAAUAAUUCAUCCAGAAUAGUAAAUGCCAUCCCUAAAAGGGCAAGCUGUUCAGAAUCUGUUUCAACUCUAAAGUGCAUGACUUCCUUCAGCUCUGUAAGAUUGUCAUCAUCAGAAGGGCCUGGGAGAGAUUUAAUCAAUGCUUCCAUGUACUUAUCAAACAGCUGUGAGAUUCUAGUUAAUACAUUUCCUCCAAAAUGCAAAAUGGCUGAGGGAGUUAGCUGCGCCAAUAUAUCUUCAAUAACGUCCAUAAAUCUCAUUCCACUAUCAACAAGAACAUUAUCUGUCGUUGUUGCAAACACAGAUAACGGAGAACCUGAAUGCAGGGACAACAGCAAGCUGUCGUCGGUUUCUGACAUGUCAAGAAUUACCCUUCUGGCUCUCCGAAAGUUCAACUCUAACACUUCUUCAAUAUAUGGCCGUAUGAGUACCAAAAGCAACUUUGACAGUUUCAGACCCUGUGAUUCCAACAUUAAGCAGUAGUUAAGACUAGCCUGAAUACAAUUGCUAGCUGCACCUAAUGCAGAAACUGUCUCCGAAGGAGGUGCAUUCUCCUUCACCAACCGUACAAAAUAUUCAAUCUCCCACUCUGCCCAUUGAACAACUCUAUUGGUAUACAAAGGAUCAUCCCCAAAUAUGGAACCAGAUUU
rnacentral:misc_RNA from 1 species